UAGUAUUUAUUUAGUUUCCCGCCAGAGUCGGUGCGCAAAGCACAGCGUGGAGCGUGCCACUCCUGCUCCGCUCGCUAGUGAUUCGAAAAUCAAGUGGCUAUCUUUCUCUCUCGUCAACGAUUACGAACUGAAGCAGCUCGAGAACAUUUGCCGCAACGAUGAGAUGAUGGCUGCUCUCAAACUCCAUGCCAAAGCCACCCAACUCUCCAAUUUCAAGCGAAGUCAAACUCAGAGUUAUUCUCUCUUGCUCUUGUUUCACUUUUCAAUGAUGAGAGGUUUCAAUAACAUUGCUUUGGGGGAUUCAUUGUCAGGGUCCGAACCAAAUCUUACAUCUUGAAACCGGAAAAGAAAUAAAAACCCAAAACCCUAAUCGUCAGCAGACGCUCCCUUCGAACCAGGGGUAUCUCACCAGAUUCCGUGGGUCCCACUACUCACACCGAAACCGAAACCGAAACCGAACCUUCCGUUGUAAGCAGCUUGUUUCCUCUUUCCAUGGCUGAUGCUCGUGAAAGCAGAUACUCUGAUAGCUCCUUCCUUUAUUCACUCAUGGGUAUGACCCAAACCCAAAAGGAAGCCCAAGAUGCUAUUGCUAGCGUUGCACGGGUUGUUCCCGGAAGUAUAACCGAUGUCCGGUCUUUUCCUUCCAGUAAUGUCAAGAUGAUCGCGGCAGCUAACAACAUUGGGAAUCUAGGGUUCUGGAAUGUGGGACAAAGCGAGUUUCAUUUAUACUGUCCCCAUUUGGCUUUCAUUUCUGGGAUAUUGAUUCAACCGCAUUGCUUCUCCAAGAUGCAUACUGUCCUUAGCGGGGGAUUUGGGAUUAAAGUGGAAGCAAAGGAGGAAAUAAGCUUUGUUUGACAGCUGCAAAAUCACCUCUUGCCCGUCUACGUUCCUAAUCACUGCACAUUGUAUCGUAUAUGUUUCGGAGUAUUCACCAAUAUAUAUGUGUGUGUUUUAGGAGUUCGAUUGUGAAUGUAAUUUUAGCAAAUUGCAGUGAAGUUUCAGCUUCUCGGGCUUAUAACUUCAUUUGGCUGAAUAGAAUAACUAUGCUUGUGGUUUACCUUGUAUCCCAGCCUUGACAUAAUUAUGAUUGAAUUAAUUUGUUCCUUCAUCAAUCAAUCAAUAUUCCUCACUUUAUUUUGUCUGCUUUACAUUUUGUUAGUUGCAGAAUUGUCCGAUGCUGUGAACAAUUAUAUAUGCAGAUAUACACAAGUUGCUAUGAUGGAAUUCUUCGGCUAAUGGAUACUGAGAAGGAAAUCUUUGAUCUGGUAUUUGAGAGUGACGAAAGUAUAUAUGCUCUCUCUCAAUCAACAAAUGAGACAAACUGCCUAUAUCUUGGUGAGGGUUCUGGUGCCUGCACCUGGGAUUUUAGAUAUACUGAUGGGGAUAAACUUGCCGCCUUGAGAAUAUUUACCCACAAAAGAGGUGUGCAAUCUGCUUACUUCUCUCCUUCUGGAUGUAGCCUGGCAACUACAAGUGCAGACGCCACUAUUGGUAUUUACAGUGGAGUUAACUUAGAGGAUGGAGCUGUUAUUCAUCUUAACAAUCAGAAUAGUACAUACCUCUCUACUUUGAGUUAUGGUUUCUCGGGAAGUAUCUGAAGAGCGAAAUGGGGUUGGAAUGACUCAUAUCUCUUCCUUGGAAAUACGAACAGAGGAGUUGAUGUCGUCUCAGCUGUUCAAAGGAAGCAGUUAUGACUCUUGCGAGCCUGCACAUGUCUGUCAAUCCGUACAGAUUAGAUAGACAUUCAUACGAGGUUGGGAUGCUUGUAGGAUGUACAAGUGGAGGCCAGGUUUGUAUUUGGACGUCGCUCUAGGAUUUGUAUUUAAUGUGCACUUCAAUUGUUUGGAACUGCGCCCAAGGAGCAAAAUGACAUGUCUUUUUUAUUUUAUUUUUAAGCAAGGUACUCCAUAGUCGAAAGUCAUAAGAGUAAUUUUUGAAGGUUAGAGAUGAUUGAAAUGAAUUUUGUCUCUUCGAACAAAGUCUUUUUCAUAUGCACAGCCUGAGAAUCGAAUUCCUAUUAACAUACUUAAGGAAUCUAGUCAUUUAUCAACUAUA